rnacentral:misc_RNA from 1 species
UUUCCGUAGGUGAACCUGCGGAAGGAUCAUUAAAGAAUUUGCCCCGUCCUCUCAAGGAUGGGUCCUCUUCUAAACCGUGUAUACAUACCUUUGUUGCUUUGGCGGGCCGCCGUCUCGGCGUUGGCUUCGGCUGACUGUGCCCGCCAGAGAACCCCAACUCUUCUGUUUAGUAUUGUCUGAGUACUAUAUAAUAGUUAAAACUUUCAACAACGGAUCUCUUGGUUCUG